rnacentral:lncRNA from 1 species
AAAAAAACGGGAGUUUUUUUUUUGCCAAUGACGGACUCGAACUCGGGUUCCUUUUGUUGAUGCGAAUUUCUUUCCCUCGCAGAUUAAACGUUCCUUUACAAAGAAAGAAACGCAGACAGACGGACACACGCAAAAAAAAAUGGCUCACACGCAAAGGAUGAGACAGGACGUUUAAGUGUAACUCGAGAACGAUGUGGAAAUUUAAGCGCAGCGAAAAAUGUAUUUACCCAAAAAUACCGAUAAAUAUCAAAGUAUAGCCAGGCUGAUUACGAAGUCUUAUACAAGUUUGGCCAUCGAAAAUUGGCAAACUGAUUUAAGCCAAUUCAGUAUAGCGAAACGGACGUUUUGAAAAUUGGAAUGGUAUUUUAUUCACGAGAUGUUAACCUUUUCCCGCCCACUAUCCUUUUCCACAACAUCUUCCAUUUACAUAUACGGAACGUCACAUGAACUUUAGGAACCAACGGUAAAUCAGAUCGUAUUCCUCGGUGUAGAGAAACGAACCAACCAGAUCGCGUGAUCGAUUUUUUGGGGAGGUUUUAAGUUUUGUAGAAAAACCUUGAUUUGAUUGUGUUUUUACUCAUCGAUGUCUAGUCCGAACCCCUGGCGGACGCGCAAUAGUCAGACGAUGGGCAAGUCGAUCGCCUUGAAAGAAAACGCUUGACAAGCGGACAUCAAUUCAAAGCCGACGGGUGCAACUCUCCCGGCGGGAAUCGGGUUAGCCCGGUGGUUUCCUAACUCCAAAAGGAUUAUACUGCCCUCCGUCCGCAAUUCGAUUUUUUCGUCGACACGUGCAGAGACUUUUCAAGUUGUUGAACCCAUUCGCCCCACCCUUUGCUGCUAAAAGCUAGUAGUAAUUCGGCAUUUCUUUUCUUUUUCUAGAGAAUAAACAAUUUGCAUAGCGACUUGCACUCACAGCCAAAUUAUUCAUGCGAAAAACAACCGACGAGAAAUAAGAAACAUAUUGAUUAUGUUAGCAAAACAUCCCGUCCAAUAUUCAUAAUUGGCAACCAGCACGGUAUACGAUAACGGGGAAGAAUAGGAAGCGUGGGGAGGGUAUCCGUUUCACCGGGGUUGGCAAUAUCACUGACCACCGCUCUGAUGCAUGAUGAACGAUCAUCGAAAUUGACACCGACUGGACGAGAUAAUUGAAUUUUCCCUUUUUCCUUUCGCCAACCCCAGUCUCUUUCUUCAGCGCUGCAGCUUAAAGGAUAGUAAUGAAUCCAGAUGGGAUUAUUCUAGACGAUUACUUCCUUUCUGCCUUGCGCACUCGUUCCCUUGCAAAUCCAGGAUUCGCAAACGGACUAUGCUAAAUUUCGGUUGUCACGAACAAGCCAGUUGGAAUGAAUAGCAGUUCGCUUUGUUAGUUCUUUUACGCUACGGCGUUACAGACGGAAAGGAAUGGGAAAGUGCCGAAGUAAGUGUCAAGCCGGAUGGAUCCAUCUACUUAUAAAUGUGCCGAAUGUGACAGACAUGUCACCGAUAACUGCGCAACAAUACGGCACCAAUGCGACCACUAGUCGUCUGGGAAACAACACAAAGGGGGCUUGCUAACACACACGGCAUGUGUGUAAAAGAAAAAAAGAUGGUAAAUAAUGGCAUUUUUUUUUUUUUUUUAGAAGAGAGGGGAUGCUGGAUUGGAACGGAAGCAUCACCAACAGACGGAUACAGACGUACUGCAUAGAGAGACGAUGUCGAUCUAAAUCGAUACGGAAAUGUAUUUUUUAAAAAGCCGAGUACCAGGGAAACCUAGACCUACUUUGUAUUCGAAAAGAUCCAUUUUCUUUUGAGAAAAUGUAAUGGAAGCAUCAUAUAGAGGACGGAUGUCAAGAAAUGGGAACGUGUUCCAGGGGCGACUUGGAGCUCUACAACUUCUUACACAAGUGACGUGUGUACUGUGCGUAUAUACUGUACGGUAGAAUUUACACGCAUGAGCCUUCAUCGCGUGCUUGGAAAAUGGAAUCAAAGGAAUUGAACAUCUGCCCCUUCCUACUCCGUUUCACCCUACCACUACCGCCCAAUUACCCCAUCCCACGGAAUGAAAAAUAAAAAAUAAACACAAAGAAUGAAAUAUUU